rnacentral:rRNA from 1 species
AUACCACUUGUUGCCUCGGCGGAUCAGCCCGCUCCCGGUAAAACGGGACGGCCCGCCAGAGGACCCCUAAACUCUGUUUCUAUAUGUAACUUCUGAGUAAAACCAUAAAUAAAUCAAAACUUUCAACAACGGAUCUCUUGGUUCUGGCAUCGAUGAAGAACGCAGCAAAAUGCGAUAAGUAAUGUGAAUUGCAGAAUUCAGUGAAUCAUCGAAUCUUUGAACGCACAUUGCGCCCGCCAGUAUUCUGGCGGGCAUGCCUGUUCGAGCGUCAUUUCAACCCUCAAGCACAGCUUGGUGUUGGGACUCGCGUUAAUUCGCGUUCCCCAAAUUGAUUGGCGGUCACGUCGAGCUUCCAUAGCGUAGUAGUAAAACCCUCGUUACUGGUAAUCGUCGCGGCCACGCCGUUAAACCCCAACUUCUGAAUGUUGACCUCGGAUCAGGUAGGAAUACCCGCUGAACUUAAGCAUAUCAAUAGCCGGAGGA